UACGAAGGGUGCAAACGUUGCUCGGAGUCAUUGGGCGUAAAGCGCACGUAGGCGGCUUCGCAAGUCGGAUGUGAAAUCCCUCGGCUCAACCGAGGACGUGCAUACGAAACUGCGGAGCUUGAGUGCUGAAGAGGAUCGCGGAAUUCCCGGUGUAGAGGUGAAAUUCGUAGAUAUCGGGAGGAACACCAGUGGCGAAGGCGGCGAUCUGGGCAGACACUGACGCUGAGGUGCGAAAGCGUGGGGAGCAAACAGG
rnacentral:rRNA from 1 species